GUAAAUGAAUUGUCUGCUGUCUUGCAAAUAAACCACAACCUCACUGGAUAUAAAAAGCCAAAAUCUUCAAGUGUCACUCCACUGUUCAGCACAAAAUCCACUCGACCCCUUUGUUCAGUUUGGAGGAAGUACUGCAUUAUGGGAGGUGACAUCCUUUAAAUGAGAUACAAGAAAACAGAACAAACUUAGUAACCACAUCUUGUACAUUCUUAUCCAAAUCAUUGAUAUAGAUGAUAAACAACAAUGGGCCCAGCACCGACCCCUGAGGAACAUCACUA